UAGCCACGACCACGCUUUGUUCCUCGGACCUGCCCCUUUUGCCUUGCCCUUGUCGGACUGUUACUAUCGCCCUUCUGGAUCUCGACCCACGCCUGUUUCAGUUACACCGCUCUCGCCCACUCCCACGGAUUCUACCCUUAGCCCCGAUCGUGCAUGACCUCGGCCCGUCUGACUAAGGAUUCGGAUCUGGAUUUGGUUCUUCUGCUGCCUAACUAGUUUGUACGCUGCCCUGCAUCAGCGCUUCCCUCCCCAGGCACUUCCUGCCAAGCUCUGCGUCAGCGCAGCAUCCGCGCUCCUCCUGGUUCCUCAGCCGAUCACUUCAGUUACUGAUCGCCAAGCCAGUGCUGCAGCGGACGAUCCUGCGUGCCCGGUUUAAGCUGCCUUUUAAUAAAUAUCAGAGUUUUCUGCUCA